CUUGCCUGGGAGGAAUUAACUGAGCCCUUCCGUGAAGAGCUGCCAACCAUCAAAAUAAAGCAUUCCCAGCCUGCCAGAUUCUCAUGGAGGGAAAUUACAAGUCCUAGUAAUUAUCAUCACGGGGAGCUCGGAGUUAACACAGAAUCUCUCUCUUUUUUAAUCGCAGGUGAUUGAUGCGAGCAGUGCAGCUUCCCUGGUGCUUUCAGGACAACAAAGAACAAGUGGAACUUGGCGCGCCGAGUGCCUUCGCUGAGGGUGGCGUGCCGUGGGGUGUUGUUCAGAUGCGGAUGCGGUACUCAAACCCACAUCGACACAAGGGCUUGUAUGAAACACUCACACGUGUGUAGCUCACACAUGUCCACAUGCACAAUUGCAUAUACCCACAUUUAUUCCUCCGUACUCAGGACUGCUCAGGAGCAAUGCUGUACUUAGCAGAGGGUGCUGGACACCGUGUGUGCACAGCAGAUGCCCAUUGGGAACUCUGAAAAGCAAACCAAUGAGCCCUGCUGAGGGCUUCUCUGUACUUCAUCCUCCAUCUUCACCGAGUCGGCCGUGCCCAGCAGAAACAAGAGUUGCAUCAAUGGAUAUCACGUUGGCUAAGUGCUCUGGGAGGGAGGGAGAUUUCAUCUGCUGGAAAAGUGGGGACGGCUUAACUUUGGUGAUAUUUGGGUUGGACCUUGGAGGAUGGGAGGAAGUCAAAACAGAAACUUGGGAGGGGAGAGAGGCAAAGGAAACAGAGGUUUGAAGAUGUCUGCACAAAGGCAAAUCAAUGGUUUGACUCGGGGAUUAGGGGCUUGAUAUUGGGAGGGAUGGGGAGGAUAGAGAAGCAUCCCUGUUGAAGCCAGAGGAGAAGGUGGUGCCGGUCACACAGAGCCCUGAACAGCCUGCAGAGGAAUUUGAGCCUUACUCUGUGGGGCAAUUGGGAGCUAAGAAAGGCAGCUUCACACAGAACAAGGCUGGCUAGUCUUGGGUCUGCGGUUGUCACUGAGUAGCAGGGAUUGUGGCAGCAUGGAGGUACAGGAGGUAGGUGGCAGGGGCAUGCCCACAUAACAGUCAUGCCCAUUUAUAUUAAUUAACACUAAAUUAGCACUCUGAUGGAGAUGGCCCUCUGGCCCAGGGGGCCCUUUGGCAGAUCCAUUUCUUUUCCUCUGUCACUUUGGAAAUGUACAUGAAAGUGAUUGAGGAUAACUGCUCCAAAUCAUCGCUGUCCAGUCAAGAAUAUGUCUGGGGAACCCCAGGAGUCCUUAGCCCCUCAGUUUGAGAAAUACUGUCCUAGCUACUGUGCUAUUCCCCUCAGCUUACAAAGGCCACCAGAGAACUUCAGAUAUAUAUUGUAGUUUUUGAAUCCAGGCCAAACUGAUUUCACCAAAUUGCUUUUGCAGUUAUGUCACUGGCCACAUCAAGGGGCCUUAUAAAGAGGCUAAAAAGAUCCUAUUGAGAAUGUGCUUGUACCAUGCCAGCAUUCCGUCUCUUUAAAGACCUAAGUGAGAAAUGUCUCAGGCCUUAGAACCAAGAAGAGUUGAUCCUUUCCUGAAAACUGGUCUUUUCUUACCAUAUCUAUGCUCUUGGUCUCAAAACUAAUCACAUUUUCCUCUUUGCAUUGGCUAGCAGGAAGCUCAGAAGCAAAAAUGUGGCCCAACUUUAACAAAGCGUAUAGGAUCUUAUCAUGCAAGUUGGAGGCUAAUUUUAUUCUAGUGUCCCCACUUUACUCUUCAUUCUCAUCCAAUUUCUUUGCUUAAAUCUUUACAGUCCUAUGCCAAAUUUAUUUUUGUAA
ensembl:lincRNA